rnacentral:rRNA from 1 species
UACGGGGGGGGGCAAGCGUUUGUUCGGAAUUACUGGGCGUAAAGGGCUCGUAGGCGGCCAACUAAGUCGGAUGUGAAAUCCCCAGGCUUAACCUGGGAACUGCAUCCGAUACUGGAUGGCUUGAAUUCGGGAGAGGGAUGCAGAAUUCCAGGUGUAGCGGUGAAAUGCGUAGAUAUCUGGAGGAAUACCGGUGGCGAAGGCGGCAUCCUGGACCGACAUUGACGCUGAGUGAGCGAAAGCUAGGGGAGCAAACGGGG